GAUGAACGCUGGCGGCGUGCCUAAUACAUGCAAGUCGAGCGAACGGACGAGAAGCUUGCUUCUCUGAUGUUAGCGGCGGACGGGUGAGUAACACGUGGAUAACCUACCUAUAAGACUGGGAUAACUUCGGGAAACCGUAGCUAAUACCGGAUAAUAUUUUGAACCGCAUGGUUCAAAAGUGAAAGACGGUCUUGCCGUCACUUAUAGAUGGAUCCGCGCUGCAUUAGCUAGUUGGUAAGGUAACGGCUUACCAAGGCAGCGAUGCGUAGCCGACCUGAGAGGGUGAUGGGCCACACUGGAACUGGGACACGGGGCAGACUCCUACGGGAGGCGGGAGUAGGGAAUCUUCCGGAAUGGGCGGAAGCCUGACGGAGCAACGCCGCGUGAGUGAUGAAGGUCUUCGGAUCGUAAAACUCUGUUAUUAGGGAAGAGCAUAUGUGUAAGUGACUGGGCAGAUCUUGACGGUGCCGAGUCAGAAAGCCACGGCUAACUACGUG
rnacentral:rRNA from 1 species